rnacentral:lncRNA from 1 species
AGGCAGCACCCAUAGACUGAGCUUUUAGAGCACCAGACAAGAGAAUCCAAGCUUGGGUCCCCAUCUGAUCAUGGCCACGCCUCCAUCUGAUAAGCUGUUGCCCAGAGUCUCUCACGAAUGACAGGUAGCUAGUCGGUGGUCAUUGUGUGUGGGGGACAAGUGGGUGGGCUAGGGUCUGCUCCAUGCCAGCUGAGCCUCAGCAUUAAUUCACAAGUGAAGCUCAAAGCAACCUGCUUCUGCACUUGAGAAUCAUGGGCACUUCUCCCCAAUAGUCAGGCAUUAGACUUCACCAGGCAGCUGGUGUUUUGUGGGAAAAAAUAGGCAUGCAGGGCCCUGGCAAUAUGAUAGGCACAGAAACUGGUAGAAGAGGAGGGAGGCGGGAACUGCUUGGCGGCGGAGUUGGUGCUAAUUCAUUC